rnacentral:rRNA from 1 species
UACGUAGGGUGCAAGCGUUAAUCGGAAUUACUGGGCGUAAAGCGUGCGCAGGCGGUUGUGCAAGACAGAUGUGAAAUCCCCGGGCUCAACCUGUGAACUGCAUUUGUGACUGCACGGCUAGAGUGUGUCAGAGGGGGGUAGAAUUCCACGUGUAGCAGUGAAAUGCGUAGAUAUGUGGAGGAAUACCGAUGGCGAAGGCAGCCCCCUGGGAUAACACUGACGCUCAUGCACGAAAGCGUGGGGAGCAAACAGG